AAAAUUUCUCGCCCUUUUCCCAGUGAGGCAUUUUACGCUUGUCUCACUGCUCCUCUUAGGACCGCCGGUCUGCAGCUCGGUCUUUCCUCGUGGGAUUGUGGUUUUGCAAUGAUAGUGCCAGGUCUGAUGGAGGAGGCCGAUAAGGGUUACCACGCAGAAAGGACCUGGGCUGAUACUCUGUGGGUAGCAGCGAUUCCUGCACAAGGCCGAUGACCCCAGUUUGACCCAUGGAGCUCACAGAGAAAAACUGGCUACCCUGACUUCUUCGUCACACUGAUUGCUGAGGCGGCAUGUUUUCCUUCACACUGACAAUCUGAAGAGAUUUUCUUCAAAGGAAGAGAAAGGCUCCGCUGCCUGGGGUGUGUUGACCAGCUCUGCGACUGACUUCUGCUGCGCUGGAAGGUGAAAUGCCCUCUCAUAGGCUCAGGUAUUUGAACAAGUGGGCUCCAGAGAGUGGCACUGUCCGGGAAGGUUGUGGAGCCCUUAGGCGGUGG
rnacentral:lncRNA from 1 species